rnacentral:lncRNA from 1 species
GCCUUUAAAAACUGAACCAGAAAUUUGGCCCCCAUGUUCUCUGUUUUCCCUUGGCUCAACCACCAAGAGUUCUCACGGACAUCACACGUAUCUUUUAACAGAAUCUGAGAUAGUAGUUGCCAAUAUAGGCUAGAUUUGCCUCCAAGUAUUGGGACUUCUUUUGGAGUGAUAAGGAGGGGCCAACCCAACACUUUGGCCUUCUCAACCUCCGCAGAUGCUGCUCAGUGUCUCUUCCUCCCCAGUUUUGGCUCGGCAUGGUGUCUCCCAGGCCCACUGACUGUCGGUUGCCAUAACAACUUAUGGCAAAAGAGGGAAGCCUGGCGAAGCAGUGGUUGGGCCAGGUGGAGAGGAGGAGGUAGAACAGAUAGCUGAGACACACAGAGUCCCUGGAAAGUUGGUGUGGAGGCAGGUGACUGCAAGAAAGGUGGAGGAAGCUUGAGUCUGUGAUGAAGAUGAAGUUAAAGAUGAAGGAAGAAGAAGAAAAUAAGGAAGGAUGCAAAUUCAUGUUCUGACAGCUCAUUCAAUGAAUCUGCAGGCAAUGAGACAUUCUGGUGUGGUUUACUAUUCAAUACAAGGAAUUCUGUUAUUUUCUAGAGUUUCAUCAACACAAGUGUUACAAGCAUACUGUUGUUUUCAUUCUACUGUUGAUUUUAGAUUUCUACAUUUCAGAUUGACUUCAAGGCUCUUGGAAGAUUGGAAAAGGACAAAAAGACCCAGUAACAUGUUUGGACUUGAAAAUCAGAACAAGCAGGCAAUCUGUAGAGCUAUCUUGGAAAUAAGCUAUGAAAAGAUAACAUCCCCACCUUGUGAUCUUGGCAGAACCCUUCCUACACUGAAUAAACUCAUGGAGAACAGAAGAAGGAAAGAAACACAGGUCUACAUAGUUUAAAAUCCUAACUUUGAAACAAAUUGAAGAUCACUGUAAGAACCAGCCUUUGGGUACAAUGAGGUGCUGUGACAAUGGUAAGAAGCUGUCUUCUCAAAUUCCCAAAGGGCCCCAUAAGCUAUUGGUAACCAUAGGCAAUCAAGCAAUGAGGUAUCAAUGGUUUCUAGUAGACCAGAAGCAGAGUUGACACUAAGUUUGUGUAUGAAUGACAUCCCUGUCUAAGUGGCAAGAAGCAUAAAAUGAAGAAGAAAGUCAUCCCUCAGAGUUUCUUUGUGAACCAUCUUGCAAAUACCUAUAACCAUGAGCAUGGUGUCAAUUCCUUUGAAGACUUCACCAUGCUGCUAUAAUCAUCACCUGAAAGAAUGGAAUAACUACCAAAUAGAGUCCCCUACUGCAAAAUCUAUGUUCUCUUUGGCAUUCAGUUACUCAUACAGCAUUAUGGGCCCUAAUGAGAAAUUCUGGGAUUUUCAUAUUGAUUUUAAAAACCAAACCAGCUCAAGGCCAUGGCAUGUGUUUUGCCAGCACAGAAAAAAUGUAUUAAUACUUUUUCAUAAUUAAACUGUCAUUGAAGCCAUACCUCAUAGCAGAAAAUCUAUCUUGCUUCCCCUUGAAUAGAUAGAUACAAGCUGUCAUUUCUCAUGACUUCACCAAGAGACCAAUUACUGAACUCGGGCCUCUGCACAAGCAAUAAGUAAAGACUGAGGUGAAGGGGUAUAAGCUUCUCAUCUGAGCACUGAUGACAUCCUUUAGCACUGAGGGAGUCCCUUAGAAAAAGUUUUCAGGAAAAGUUUAUCUAAUCUUUGUGGACUGAGAAAAUAAUUGAAUAGAGAUACAUAAAAAAGAUUGUACUCAUCAUCUUUCUGUCACUAUAGCAAAUGCCUGUGAUAAUCAACUUAGAAAUAACAAGGAUUUAUUUCAUCUUAAGGUACCAGAAAUGCAUGACCCUACUGUUUUGAAAUCAUUGGCAAGGCAUUUGAUCUUGGUAGGUAUACUACAAUGGAGCACAUCUGUUUGCCUCAUGGCCCAAAGAGCAAAGAGUAAAAUUGAGGAAUAGAAAGGGGCUAAAGCCUAGUAUUCUUUCAAAAAUAUGAUGUAAGUGACUAAAUAAACCACCUCCACUGGGUCCUGCA